GUGUUGUAUGAAAGGAGAGAAGGUUUGCACUCCCCUUGACAAGGACGGAAGAGGCCCUUGGGCCUAACCACACAUCCGGUUGAGGCACUGCCACCUACUGCGCAGCAUCUCACCACUGUUU
ensembl:snRNA LOC120097629 U6atac minor spliceosomal RNA